rnacentral:rRNA from 1 species
GCAGCAUGUUGGUUGCUUGCAACCGAUGAUGGCGACCGGCGCACGGGUGAGUAACGCGUAUCCAACUUGGCUUAUACUUAGGGAUAACCCGUUGAAAGACGGCCUAAUACCUAAUGGUUUAUGACGGUUGCAUGACUGUUAUAAUAAAGAUUUAUCGGUAUAAGAUAGGGAUGCGUCUGAUUAGUUAGUUGGUGAGGUAACGGCUCACCAAGGCAUCGAUCAGUAGGGGUUCUGAGAGGAAGGUCCCCCACAUUGGAACUGAGACACGGUCCAAACUCCUACGGGAGGCAGCAGUGAGGAAUAUUGGUCAAUGGACGUAAGUCUGAACCAGCCAAGUAGCGUGCAGGGAUGACGGCCCUAUGGGUUGUAAACUGCUUUUAUGUGAGAAUAAAGUUAACUACGUGUAGUUAUUUGCAUGUAUCACAUGAAUAAGGACCGGCUAAUUCCGUGCCAGCAGCCGCGGUAAUACGGAAGGUCCCGGCGUUAUCCGGAUUUAUUGGGUUUAAAGGGAGCGUAGGCCGUUUGGUAAGCGUGCUGUGAAAUUUAGAGGCUCAACCUCUACCGUGCAGCGCGAACUGUCAGACUUGAGUGCGUAGUAGGUAGGCGGAAUUCGUGGUGUAGCGGUGAAAUGCUUAGAUAUCACGAAGAACUCCGAUUGCGAAGGCAGCUUACCGUAUCGCAACUGACGCUGAUGCUCGAAGGUGCGGGUAUCGAACAGGAUUAGAUACCCUGGUAGUCCGCACAGUAAACGAUGG